rnacentral:rRNA from 1 species
UUGAUGAACGCUAGCUACAGGCUUAACACAUGCAAGUCGAGGGGCAGCAUGGUCUUAGCUUGCUAAGGCCGAUGGCGACCGGCGCACGGGUGAGUAACACGUAUCCAACCUGCCGUCUACUCUUGGACAGCCUUCUGAAAGGAAGAUUAAUACAAGAUGGCAUCAUGAGUCCACAUGUUCACAUGAUUAAAGGUAUUCCGGUAGACGAUGGGGAUGCGUUCCAUUAGAUAGUAGGCGGGGUAACGGCCCACCUAGUCUUCGAUGGAUAGGGGUUCUGAGAGGAAGGUCCCCCACAUUGGAACUGAGACACGGUCCAAACUCCUACGGGAGGCAGCAGUGAGGAAUAUUGGUCAAUGGGCGAGAGCCUGAACCAGCCAAGUAGCGUGAAGGAUGACUGCCCUAUGGGUUGUAAACUUCUUUUAUAAAGGAAUAAAGUCGGGUAUGCAUACCCGUUUGCAUGUACUUUAUGAAUAAGGAUCGGCUAACUCCGUGCCAGCAGCCGCGGUAAUACGGAGGAUCCGAGCGUUAUCCGGAUUUAUUGGGUUUAAAGGGAGCGUAGAUGGAUGUUUAAGUCAGUUGUGAAAGUUUGCGGCUCAACCGUAAAAUUGCAGUUGAUACUGGAUAUCUUGAGUGCAGUUGAGGCAGGCGGAAUUCGUGGUGUAGCGGUGAAAUGCUUAGAUAUCACGAAGAACUCCGAUUGCGAAGGCAGCCUGCUAAGCUGCAACUGACAUUGAGGCUCGAAAGUGUGGGUAUCAAACAGGAUUAGAUACCCUGGUAGUCCACACGGUAAACGAUGAAUACUCGCUGUUUGCGAUAUACAGCAAGCGGCCAAGCGAAAGCGUUAAGUAUUCCACCUGGGGAGUACGCCGGCAACGGUGAAACUCAAAGGAAUUGACGGGGGCCCGCACAAGCGGAGGAACAUGUGGUUUAAUUCGAUGAUACGCGAGGAACCUUACCCGGGCUUAAAUUGCAGAUGAAUUACGGUGAAAGCCGUAAGCCGCAAGGCAUCUGUGAAGGUGCUGCAUGGUUGUCGUCAGCUCGUGCCGUGAGGUGUCGGCUUAAGUGCCAUAACGAGCGCAACCCUUGUUGUCAGUUACUAACAGGUCAUGCUGAGGACUCUGACAAGACUGCCAUCGUAAGAUGUGAGGAAGGUGGGGAUGACGUCAAAUCAGCACGGCCCCUACGUCCGGGGCUACACACGUGUUACAAUGGGGGGUACAGAGGGCCGCUACCACGCGGGUGGAUGCCAAUCCCAAAAACCUCUCUCAGUUCGGACUGGAGUCUGCAACCCGACUCCACGAAGCUGGAUUCGCUAGUAAUCGCGCAUCAGCCACGGCGCGGUGAAUACGUUCCCGGGCCUUGUACACACCGCCCGUCAAGCCAUGGGAGCCGGGGGUACCUGAAGUGCGUAACCGCGAGGAGCGCCCUAGGGUAAAACUG